rnacentral:sRNA from 1 species
GGUAUCCGCUUCCCGCCGGAGCGCUGUCAGUGGCGUGACGGCGGGAAGCGGUUCUUGAAGGCCAGGAGGGCAGGCGCCAGGGACGGCGCACA